AGAGUUUGAUCAUGGCUCAGAACAAACGCUGGCGGCGUGCCUAACACAUGCAAGUCGCACGAGAAAUACCUGGCUUGCCAGGUAGAGUACAGUGGCGCACGGGUGAGUAACGCGUGGGUAAUCUACCCCCAAGACUGGGAUAACCCACCGAAAGGUGGACUAAUACCGGAUAAGCUCACAGCCCCUCGGGGUAGUGAGAAAAGCGGCCCUCUACAUGUAAGGUCGUACUUGGGGACGAGCCCGCGUCCCAUUAGCUAGUUGGUGAGGUAACGGCUCACCAAGGCGACGAUGGGUAGCUGGUCUGAGAGGAUGAUCAGCCACACUGGGACUGGAACACGGCCCAGACUCCUACGGGAGGCAGCAGUGGGGAAUCUUGCGCAAUGGGGGAAACCCUGACGCAGCAACGCCGCGUGGGUGAAGAAGGGCCUCGGCUCGUAAAGCCCUGUCAGGUGGGAAGAAAUGGUCGGGAACCAAUACCUCCCGGCCUUGACGGUACCACCAAAGGAAGCACCGGCUAACUCCGUGCCAGCAGCCGCGGUAAUACGGAGGGUGCAAGCGUUGUUCGGAAUCACUGGGCGUAAAGCGCGUGUAGGCGGUCCGGUAAGUCCCCUGUGAAAGCCCGGGGCUUAACCCCGGAAGUGCAGGGGAUACUGCUGGACUUGAGUCCGGGAGAGGGGAGUGGAAUUCCCGGUGUAGAGGUGAAAUUCGUAGAUAUCGGGAGGAACACCAGUGGCGAAGGCGACUCCCUGGACCGAGACUGACGCUGAGACGCGAAAGCGUGGGGAGCAAACAGGAUUAGAUACCCUAGUAGUCC
rnacentral:rRNA from 1 species